UACGUAGGGGGCAAGCGUUGUCCGGAUUUAUUGGGCGUAAAGAGCGUGUAGGCGGCCAGGUAGGUCUGCUGUGAAAACUCGAGGCUUAACCUCGAGCUGUCGGCGGAAACCAUCUGGCUAGAGUCCGGAAGAGGAGAAUGGAAUUCCCGGUGUAGCGGUGAAAUGCGCAGAUAUCGGGAGGAACACCAGUGGCGAAGGCGACUACCUGGCCUGUUCUUGACGCUGAGGCGCGAAAGCUAGGGGAGCAAACGGG
rnacentral:rRNA from 1 species